rnacentral:lncRNA from 1 species
CAGUGAGCCAAGAUCGCUUCGCUGCACUGCAGCCUGGGUGACAGAGUGGAACUCCAUCUCUAAACAAACAAACAAACAAACAAACGAAAAUGCUACUGAUUUCUGCAGAGGAGUCCCUCCCUGUGUCCACCACCAUCACAAGCCCAGGGCAAGUACUGCUAGAGGGCUGCCUAUGAUCAGAUCUUCUGAGAACAUCAGAGAAAGACUGUCCUUGCAAUCUACACUACAGCAAGACUUCAGGACCUUGAACUUCAGGUUCAUAAUCUCACAACUGAGAAGGAUCCUUCCACACUCUUGGAACAGUGCACCCAUUGGAACUCUGAAGGUUAAGCUCACCAGGAAAGUUUCUCUCCAGAAGAAGAUAACACCCUUAAUGUGAACAGCUUUUCCCAAAAUCACGGAUUGAAACUUCUCUACACUCACGAGACUCUUAUCUUUGAAUAUUUUCCCUUGGUUAUGCUUCUGUGAACAAUAGACGUGAAAAGGGAGUCUGUUGUGUGCACUUAUGGGGCACACUUUUAUGUGUGAAGGAUUUUUCAGCCAGCCUUAUAUAUGGAUGACCUUAUAGUUUAAGAGAUAAAAGACAAAGACCCAAUGCAGACUAACAAAAUGAUAUUUGUGUCCAGAACCAGUUAAAGAGCUGUG